CCUGUCGCUCCCUCUACUGCAAGAGAUCCGGCCACCCCGACCCGUCCCUACAAGACCAGCGCCACGGCUCCAUACCUCGCCGCCUCCAAGGAUGACGAGGAGGACGAGAUCCCUUUCCCACGUGCUAGGCCGCCCGUCACCAUCGUAAGUUCACAACAACAACGGAUGUCCAUGUGGAUGAUCUACUCCUAGCAGCGCCCCUGUUCUGUAACAUUUUUUGACCCAUACUGAGAGGUUGCAAAGGUGUCCUUUAUUAUGGUACUCAACUGCAAUUCCAAGAAGCAGCUAUCUAAGGCAGGUGAGGAUGAAUGAAGGAUUUGGCCAGGAACUCAAUCAGAUCAUUGGAUUGAAGCUGAAGGGGACAAUGCAAAGAUAUGAAGGGAUGGCCUUUCGUUCAGAACCUGGUCUUUUGUUUGAAAGGGUCUAGCUUUUACUGUGAACUAAUUAUCAUGAUCUUAUUUUGGAGUGAUGGAUUAUUACAGAUAUUAGUGGUCGAAUUCGGUAGCGUUGGAUGCUGGCAGGUCACGGGGUUAGAGCAAAGGAACCUGACGCGGUGUUCUAAACUCAGGCAGUCAUGGUCGUUGACCAGGUGUUGAAGGGCUUGGUGGCAAUUCUCACGGAGCGGUGGCAUCUUAUGGGAAGGGAGCGGAGAAAGGGGAAUGAGGUGUUGUCGAGUGGGCGGGGUCUUUCCGCAGUCGCCUUAAGUUCCACAUCUACACACCAGUCGCCAUGGCUUGGUAGGGCCAAAUCAAAGGUCCAAGGCUAUAGAUGAGCUCUUUUUUAUUGAUGUUUUUUUUCAGUUUAGAGUUUCAUUCAGUUUUGGUCGCCUAGGAGCUGUUUAAGCUGGGUUGAACAGAAAACCACAAGUUUAUAGAAUCUAAUUUUAGUUUUUUUAAGUAAUCUAGAUGUGCGAAGAGGACAUUUUCUACCAUGUACGGCUGACACAUGUUUUUACAAUGUGGAGUUUU